GAUGAACGCUAGCGGCAGGCCUAACACAUGCAAGUCGAGGGGUAACUAGAGUGAUAGCAAUAUUACUUUGGCUAGACCGGCGCACGGGUGCGUAACACGUAUGCAACCUACCUUAUACUGGGGAAUAACUUCGAGAAAUCGGCGCUAAUACCCCAUAACAUUGCGAAGAGGCAUCUCUUUGCAAUUAAAGCUCCGGCGGUAUAAGAUGGGCAUGCGUCCAAUUAGCUAGUUGGUGAGGUAACGGCUCACCAAGGCUACGAUUGGUAGGGGUUCUGAGAGGAUGAUCCCCCACACUGGUACUGAGACACGGACCAGACUCCUACGGGAGGCAGCAGUGGGGAAUAUUGCACAAUGGACGCAAGCCUGAUGCAGCCAUGCCGCGUGUAUGAAGAAGGCCUUCGGGUUGUAAAGUACUUUCAGCGGGGAGGAAGGCGGUGAAGUUAAUAGCUUCAUCGACUGACGUUACCCGCAGAAGAAGCACCGGCUAACUCCGUGCCAGCCGCCGCCGUAA
rnacentral:rRNA from 1 species